rnacentral:tRNA from 1 species
CCUUCGAUAGCUCAGUUGGUAGAGCGGAGGACUGUAGAUCCUUAGGUCGCUGGUUCGAAUCCGGCUCCAAGGA